UACGUAGGGGGCAAGCGUUGUCCGGAUUUAUUGGGCGUAAAGAGCGUGUAGGCGGCUUUACAGGUCCGUUGUGAAAACUCGAGGCUCAACCUCGAGACGCCGGUGGAAACCGUAAAGCUAGAGUCCGGAAGAGGAGAGUGGAAUUCCUGGUGUAGCGGUGAAAUGCGCAGAUAUCAGGAAGAACACCCGUGGCGAAGGCGGCUCUCUGGGACGGUACCUGACGCUGAGACGCGAAAGCGUGGGGGAGCGAA
rnacentral:rRNA from 1 species